rnacentral:rRNA from 1 species
CCUACGGGAGGCAGCAGUGAGGAAUAUUGGUCAAUGGGCGCGAGCCUGAACCAGCCAAGUAGCGUGAAGGAUGACUACCCUAUGGGUUGUAAACUUCUUUUAUAAAGGAAUAAAGUGAGGCACGUGUGCCUUUUUGUAUGUACUUUAUGAAUAAGGAUCGGCUAACUCAGUGCCAGCAGCCGCGGUAAUACGGAGGAUCCGAGCGUUAACCGGAUUUUUUGGGUUUAAAGGGAGCGUAGAUGGGUUUUUAAGUCAGUUGUGAAAGUUUGCGGCUCAACCGUAAAAUUGCAAUUGAGACUGGCAGCCUUGAGUACAGUUGAGGUAGGCGGAAUUCGUGGUGUAGCGGUGAAAUGCUUAGAUAUCACGAAGAACUCCGAUUGCGAAGGCAGCUUACUAAACUGCCACUGACAUUGAUGCUCGAAAGUGUGGGUAUCAAACAGGAUUAGAUACCCUGGUAGUC